AAGUGGAAGACUAUCUGAUGAAGAGAGUCAGUGCUACUGGAAGGAACACGCACCACACAGCCCACUGCACUAUGCCAUAAAUCAGCUCGGUGCCAAAUCCCACCCGACGAGAUGAGUUACGGGAUCGUUAGAGGGGAACAUCUGAAGAUAAACAGAAUCUUGUCUUGUGGGGCCAGCAUUGCUUUAUUGGAUAGAAUAUUGCCAGUCCCAUUUGGAAUGGAGCUUUGGCAAGCAGAAAAAGGCUUUAUCAAAGGAAAGAUGUCAGUGAUGUUACAGAGACUUAAGAAAAUCAGCAUCAACUGAAUUACUUAUUUCAUAGCUCCUCUGAAGUCUUUUUAAAGAGAUAAAUGCAUAGAAUUUGAAGCAAGAGGCUGCUGGAGGCCCUUGGUUAGCUCUAAUUUGCAGUAAAUAUUGGUGCAUUGAUUAUUAUCAUGACCUGCUGAGUUUUAAUUUCCCUUUAUAGAAAAAACCCAAACUCUCUCAUUCUGAACAAAUCUGGAUGAUCAAAACAGUGUAAGUGUAAAUUAACAUCCCCGGGGCUAUGCUGGCACAACUGAGAUCGCCGUUUAGCUCUUUGCUUUGUAUCAUUUCCCAAGCUUUCCUGUUU
rnacentral:lncRNA from 1 species